UUAGAUAGUUGGUGAGGUAACGGCUCACCAAGUCCACGAUGGAUAGGGGUUCUGAGAGGAAGGUCCCCCACACUGGUACUGAGACACGGACCAGACUCCUACGGGAGGCAGCAGUGAGGAAUAUUGGUCAAUGGGCGAGAGCCUGAACCAGCCAAGUCGCGUGAAGGAUGAAGGAUCUAUGGUUUGUAAACUUCUUUUAUAUGGGAAUAAAGUGAGGAACGUGUUCCUUUUUGUAUGUACCAUAUGAAUAAGCAUCGGCUAACUCCGUGCCAGCAGCCGCGGUAAUACGGAGGAUGCGAGCGUUAUCCGGAUUUAUUGGGUUUAAAGGGUGCGUAGGUGGUUAAUUAAGUCAGCGGUGAAAGUUUGUGGCUCAACCAUAAAAUUGCCGUUGAAACUGGUUGACUUGAGUAUAUUUGAGGUAGGCGGAAUGCGUGGUGUAGCGGUGAAAUGCAUAGAUAUCACGCAGAACUCCGAUUGCGAAGGCAGCUUACUAAACUAUAACUGACACUGAAGCACGAAAGCGUGGGGAUCAAACAGGAUUAGAUACCCUGGUAGUCCACGCAGUAAACGAU
rnacentral:rRNA from 1 species